AAGCAAAAUGCAUAGAAGGGAAAGAAUGAGGCUAUCCCAACAGCCCUUUUUAUGAAAUUAUAACGGAGGGAGUAGUAUAUUAUUAGCACUUCUGCCUCUAUUUUGUGCUGGUCUUUAUUUAACAGCCAGUUUGGAUGGUUGUUACAUAUUGCUUCAAAGAGGCGAUGAUGAUUUUGUAAAAUAUUACUAAUUCCCUUCUGAGCUGAUUAAUUCGGGUAUUUGAGAUGACCCGACCCGUAUCUUGGCAGGGCAUGACCCGGUUUAUCCUGGUGGUUUUUGCAGCCGUGGUGUUGUUGGGACUCUCUUUUUGCCUGAGCUAAACAAAGAUCUGAGCCUCAUUUUCUCUAUCAUUUUGGGAAAUAUAUUUUACUUUUAGGGUUCUUUUGGUUUACAGCGUGUUUGGAUUGGCUUAUUUUAGGUGCUUUUAAGCCAAAAUAGCUUUUAAGCACUUACACUCUGUUUGGAUGGUCGUUACCCAUGGUUUCAUAAUGUACAGUAUUGUAUUGUAUAGUAUCGCAUGCAAGUGCCGGUGAGUAUAAUUGAUGGCUUAUGAACAAAGCAAAAAGCUCAGAAGGGAAAGAAUGAGUCUUCAGAUAGUUUAAGGAUUUUCAUUGAAAGGUGGUUGCCUCCCUCUGCAUUUAGCCAAUGAUUUCUCCAUUACUCUAAGAAUCCCAACAUCCUUUUAAUCAAUUUUAACGGAGGGAGUAACUUUCUCUAUAUCAGUUGAUGAAAUAUUAUUUAGGGUUCGUUUGUUUUAGCCUGUUUGGAUUGGCUUAUUGUAGGUGGUUUUAAGCUAAAAUGGCUUUUAAGCACUUAGAGACAAGUUACCCGCAAGGGUGGCUCAGUUGGUUGAGCAUGGGGGUUUCAUAAUGGAGGUCUCAGGUUCGAAACCCCUUGCCUACGAUAGCAGGAGAUUGCCUUCUGGGUCGAGCUCGUUGCACGAGGCUUGCCUAGUGCGGGUUACCUCUCCUGUGUGGUUUGCGAGCUAUUGCACAGGAGCUGGGUUUACCCAGUGCGCAUCCAAAGGGUAGCGGCUGCAGGUUCCCAUGACAUGAUAAAAAAAAAAAAGCACUUAGAGACAAGUUUUGCAGGUGCUGGUUAGUAUAAUUGUGGGCUUAUGAUUUUGUCAAUCUUUCAGUCUGAGCAUAUUAAUCGGGUAUUUGAGAUGAUUCGACCAGGUUCUUGGCGGGGCAUGCCGUCAGAUUUUCUGGUGGUUUUUGCAGCCAUGGCGGUGUUGGACUCUCUUGUUGCCCGAGCUUAAUACAGAUCUGAGCCUCGCUAACUAUUUCUGAUAGUGCAGGGGUAUAAUUGACCCUUUCCGGUUUUGUCAAUCUUUCCGUCUGAGCUUAUUAAUCUGGGUAUUUGAGAUGAUCCGACCUGUAUCUUGGCGGGGCAUGCCCCCAGAUUUUCUGAUAGGGAAAUGGACAAACUAAAAACUCAGAAGUUAAAGAAUGAGGCUACAUAGAAAUGAGGAUUUUCAUUUCUCUGGUAUAUGAAACCAGAGAUUCUGGGUUCGAUCCCUAGCAGAGUUGAUCAAUUGUCUAUCCUUAUCAAAAAAGAAAUGAGGACUUUCAUUUCUCCAUUUGUAAGAAUCCCAACAACCCUCUUAUCAAUUUUAACGGAGGGUAUUCACAGCUCGUUUGGCAUUUGAAGUGCAAAAAUUAAAGACCAUACCAUUUGAAAUGAAUACAAUAAUGAACCACAGGAAAGAAUGAGGCUACAGGGAUUUGAGUGGUUGCCUCUCCUGCAUCAGUCAAUGAUUCCUCCAUUACUGUAAGAAUCCCAACAGCCCUUUUAUCAAUUUUAACAGAGGGAGUAUUAUAAGCAGCUUGUUUGGCAUUUGUAAUGCAAAAAUUAAAGUUCAACUCAUUUGAAGGGCAAUCUGUGCAAUUUCUUCAUUGUUGUUACAUAUCGUUCAAAGGGUUUCUAUUUUUUUUUUCCUUUUCUUUUUUUAAUGCUUCCUCCGGAGCAUUGAAUGCUGCCGGUGGAGCUGGUGGAAAUGGUGCUGGUGCCUGGUGAGUAUAAUCAGUGGCUUGAAAGAGGCGAUGAUGAUUUUGUCAAUUUUUAAAUCCUUUCUGUGCUGAUUAAUCGGGCAUUUUAGAUAAUCCGACCCGUAUCUUGACGGGGCAUUCUUUCAGAUUUUCUGGUGGUUUUUGCAGCCAUGGCGUUGUUGGACUCUCUUGUUACCCGAACCAGAUCUGAGCCUCACUAUAUAAACAAAAGGGCAGGAAAUAAACAAAGCAAAAAGUUCAGAAGGGAAAGAAUGAGGUUGCAGAGGGUUCUAAGGAUUUUUCAUUGAAAGGGUGGUUGCCUCUCUCUGUCUGCAUUUAGCCAAUGAUUUCUCCAUCACCUGUGAGAAAUCCAACAACCCUUUUUAUCAAUUUUAACGGAGGGAGUAUUAUUAUUAACCAAGUCAUUUGCACUUUAGGCCCUAUUUUGUGCUGGUCUUUAAUUAAACGGAAAUGAGUUGGAUUUGUCCCUGUACUCUCACAAAUAAGUAUAAUCGGACGGCUUGAAAGAGGCAAUGAUGAUUUUGUAAAUGAUUAAUACCCUUCUGAGCUGAUUAAUUGGGUAUUUGAGAUGACCCGACCCGUAUUUUUGCGGGGCAUGACCUGGUUUAUCUGUGGUUUUUUGCAGCCAUGGCAUUGUAGGAUUCUCUGUUAUGCCUGAGCAUAAAUAGUUAAAUAAGAUCUGAGCCUCACUUUCACUGUCAUUUUUGGAAAUAUUUUAUUAGGUGUUUGGCGAUAGAAACCAAAUAUUUUUCACUUCAUUUGAAAUUUUUGAAGUUGGAGUUGUUUUUUAUUAUAGUUUUGCAAAGAAUAUUUGGUUGUUUGAAUAUACUGAAAGUGCCAAAAGUGAAAACAAGGUUUUAGGUGUUUUCCAAGUUCCUAAUACAGCUUCAGGUUUUCAUGGCAAACGUUAAUUGUCAAAUGAAGCGAAAAUUUUCUUCAGAAAAAUGUGAAUACUUCUCAUGGCCAAACGGGUCCUUUGGGUUUGCUUGGUUUAGAGACAAGUUAUGCAGGUGCUGGUGAGUGGUGAGUAUAAUUGACGGCUUAUAAUUUUCUUAAUCUUUCAGUCUUAGCUUUGAUUAAUCUGGCAUUUGAGAUAAUCCGGCCCGUAUCUUGGCGGGGCAUGACCCGGUUUUCCUGGUGGUUUUUGCAGCCAUGGCGGGGUUGGACUCUCUGUUAUGCCUGAGCUUAAACACAGAUCUGAGCCUCCCUUUCUCUGUCAUUUUGGGAAAUAUUUUAUUUUUAGGGUUUAUUUGGUUUAGGGACAAGUUAUGUAAGUGCUGGUUAGUAUGAUUUACGGCUUAUGAUUUUGUCGAUCUUUCAGUCUGUGCUUUCGGGGAAAUUUUCAAGAAUAUACUGCCCAACAUAUAUUAUUAUGCCACGUAGCCCAAUAUACAACAUUAUACCUGGGGAAAGCAUUAUACACAGUAUCAACCUUGUAAAAAAGUGUAUAAAAGGUCUUUAUACACAAAUAUGAGCUAAAUCCGGUAACAAACUCAAAGUAUGGGCUACAUGGCGUUAAUAUUUUCAAAUAUAGACAGAGCGUAAUUUUCCCUAUUAAUCGGGCAUGUGAGAUGAUCCGACCCGUAUCUUGACUGGGAAUUCUCCCAGAUUUUCUGGUGGUUUUUGCAGCCAUGGCCUCGUUGGACUUUCUCUUGUUGCUUGAGCUUAACACAGAUCUGAGCGUCACUUUCUCUGUCAUUUUCGGAAAUAUUUUAUUUUUGGGCUUCUUUGGUUUAGAGCCUGUUUGGAUUGGCUUAUUUUUGGUGUUUUUAAGUCAAAAUAGCUUUUAAGCACUUAGAGACAGGUUAUGCUGGUGCUGAUGAGCAUAAUGGAGGGAUUAUGAUUUUGUUAAUCUUUCAGUCUGAGCUGAUUAAUUGGUAUUUGAGAUAAUCCGAUCCGUAUCCUGGCAGGGCAUGCUCCCAGAGUAUCUGGUGGGUUUUGCAGCCAUGGCGUGGUUGGACUCUCUUUUUGUGCGAGUUUAAAUCUGAGCCUAAAUUUUUCUCUAUCCAGCUUCUUUUUUUUGUUUUUUUUAAAUAAUAUUUAGGGUGUGUUUGGUACGAUAGAAAUUGUUCUUAUGGAAAAUAAGUGGGGGUGGUGGAAGUGGUGGGGUUGAGUAUUAUCGAUGGCUUGAAAGAGGCGAUGAUGAUUUUGUCAAUUUUAAAUCCCUUCUGAGCUAAUUAAUCGGGUAUUUGAGAUAAUCCGACCUGUGUCUUAGCAGGGCAUGCCCCGUUUUUUCUGGUAGUUUUUGCAGCCAUGGCAUGGUUGAACUCUCUUUUUGCCAGAGCCUACCACAGAUCUGAGUCUCAACUUUUCUCUAUAUCAGUUGGGAAAAUUAUUACUUAGGGUUCGUUUGGUUUUGGAGACAAGUUAUGCAGGUGCUGUUGAGUAUAUUGACUGCUUGAAAGAGGCCAAUGAUUUUUGACAAUGUUUAUAACCUUUUGAGCUGGUUAAUUGGGCAUUUGAGGUUAUCCGACCCGUAUCUUGGCGGGGCAUGCUCCCAGAUUUUCUGGUGGUUUUUGCAGCCAUGGUGUGGUUAGACUCUACUGGGUAUGUUGGUGGUGUGGUUGGACUCUCUUUUUGCCCAACCUUAACACCGGUCUGAGCCUCAAUUUUUGUAUGUCAGCUUGGAUUUAAAAAAUAAUAAUAUUUAGGGUGUUUGGUAUGAAGGAAAAUGUUUUGAUGGAAAAUGAGUGGGAGUGGUGGAAGCGGUGGGGGUGAGUAUACUCGGCGGCUCAAAAGAGGCGAUGAUGAUUUUUGUAAAUUUUUAUUCCCUUCUGAGCCGAUUAACCGGGCAUUUGAGGUUUAUCCGACCUGUAUCUUGGCGGGGCGUGGCUCCAGAUUUUCUGGUGGUUUUUACGGCCAUGGCGUGGUUGGACUCUUUUUGCCUGAGCUUAACAUAGAUCUGAGCGUCACUUUUUGCCUGAGCUUAACAUAGAUCUGAGCCUCACUUUAACUAUGUCAUUUUGAGAAACAAAAGGUUAGGGAAAUGAACAAAGCAAAACGCUCAGAAGGGAAAGAAUGAGGCUACAGAGAAAUGAGGAUUUUCAUUGAAAGGGUGGUUGCCUCUCUCUGCAUUUAACCAAUGAUUUCUCCAUUACUGUAAGAAUCCCAACAGCCCUUUUAUCAAUUUUAAAGCUGGGAGUAUUAUUAUUAAUAGCUCGUUUGGCAUUUGAAGUGCAAAAAUUAAAGACAAUUCCAUUUGCAAUUUCUUCAUUGUCGUUAGUUGUGGAGACAAUUCCAUUUGCAAUUUCUUCAUUGUCGUUAGUUGUGGCAUACUGUUCAAAGGGUUUCUAUGCCCUUCAACUCUUUUUUUCUUUUUUCUUUAAUGCUUCCGCCGGAGCAUUGAAUGCUGCCGGUGGAGCUGGUGGAAACGGCAGUGAGUAUAAUCGGUGGCUUGAAAGAGGCGAUGAUGAUUUUUGUCAAUUUUUAAUUCCCUUCUGAGCUGAUUAAUCGGGCAUUUGAGAUAAUCCGACCCGUAUCUUGGCGGGGCAUGCUCCCAGACUUUCUGGUGGUUUUUGCAACCAUGGCGUUGUUGGACUCUCUUUUUGCCCGUGUUAUACACAGAUCUGAGCCUCAUUUACUCUCGUCAUUUUGGGAAAUAGUUCAUUUUUAGAGUUCGUUUGGUUUGGAGCCUGUUUGGAUUGGCUUAUUUUAGGUGCUUUUAAGCUAAAAUAGCUUUUAAGCAGUUAGAGACACGUUAUGCAGGUGCUACUGAGUAUAGUUGAGGGCUUAUGAUUUUGUCUGUCUUUCAGGCUGAGCUUAUUAAUCGGGUAUUUGAGAUGAUCCAACCCGUUUCUUGGCGGGGCAUGCCGUCAGAUUUUCUGGUGGUUUUUGCAGCCAUAGCUGCGUUUGACUCUCUUGUUGCCUGAGCUUAAUACAUCUGAGCCUCACUUUAAACUAUUUCUGAUAGUACAGGGGUAUAUUUGACCCUUUUCCGUUUUGUCAAUCUUUCCGUCUAAGCUUAUUAAACAGGUAUAUGAGAUUAUCCGACCCGUAACUUGGCGGGGCAUGCUCCCAGAUCUUCUGGUUGUUUUUGCAGCCAUUGUAUUGUUGGAGUCUCUUGUUGCCCGAGCUUAACACAGAUCUGAGCCUCACUUUCUCUGUCAGUUUAGGGAAAUGAACAAACUAAAAACUCAGAAGUUAAAGAAUGAGGCUUCAGAAAAAUGAUGAUUUUCAUUUCUCUGGUCUACAAAAUCAGAGAUUCUGGGUUCGAUCCCAGCAGAGUCGAUCAAUUGUCUGUCCUUAUCAAAAAAGAAAUGAGGAUUUUCAUUUCUCCAUUACUGUAAAAAUCCCAACAACCCUUUUGUCAUUUUAUUGGAGGGAGUUUUAUUAUUAACAGCUCGUUUGGCAUUUGAAGGGCAAAAAUUAAAGACCAUACCAUUUGAAGGGCAAUUCUUCAUUGUUCUUACAUAUCGUUCAAAUAUAUGCCCUUCAACUCUUCUUUUUUCUUCUCUUUUUAAUGCUUCUGCAGGAGCAUUCAAUGUUACCGGUGGAAAUGGCGGCGGUGAGUAUAAUCGGUGUCUUGAAAGAGGCGAUGAUGAUUUUGUCAAUUUUAACUUCCUUCUGAGCUGAUUAAUUAGGCAUUUGAGAUGAUCCCACCCGUUUCUUGGCGGGGCAUGCUCCCAGACUUUCUGGUAGUUUUUGCAGCCAUGGUGUCGCCGGACUCUCUUUUUGGCCAAGCUAUCACAGAUCUGAGCUUCACUUUCUCUGUCAGUUCAGGGAAACAAAAGGUUAGGGAAAUGGAUAAAGCAAAAAUUCAGAAGCGAAAGAAUGAGGCUACAGAGAGUUGAGGAUUUUUCAUUGAAAGGGUGGUUGCUUCUCUCUGCAUCAGCCAGUGAUUUCUCCAUUACUGUAAGAAAUCCAACAACCCUUUUAUCAAUUUUAACGGAGGGAGUAUAUUAUUAGCAGCUUCUGCUUGAAUGAUUGGUACAUAUCGUUUGAAGGGCAAACGGUGUAAUUUCUUCUUUAAAGAGGCGAUGAUGAUAUUUGUCAAUUUUUAUUCCCUUCUGAGCUGAUUAAUCGGGUAUGUGAGGUCCCGUAUCUUGGCGGGGCAUGCUCCCAGAUUUUGUGGUGGUUUUUGCAGCCAUGGCGUGGUUGAACUCUCUUGUUGCCCGAGCUUAACACAGGUCUGAGCCUCACUUUAAACUAUUUCUGAUAGUACAGGGGUAUAUUUGACCCUUUUCCGUUUUGUCGAUCUUUCAGUCUGAGCUUAUUAAUCAGGUAUUUGAGAUGGUCCGACCCGUAUCUUGGCGGGGCAUGCUUCCAGAUUUUCUGGUGGUUCUAGCAGUCAUGGCAUGGUUGGUCUCGCUUUUUGCCUGAGCUGAAACACAGGUCUGAGCCUCAAUUUACCGGACUCCACUACUGUAAGAACCCCAACAACGACAAACUUUUUGUCAAUUUUGACUGAGGGAGUAUUAUUAACAUCUUCCGGAUACUAUGUAAAUAAACCCUUAGGGAAAUGAACAAACCAAUCAGAAGGGAAAGAAUGAGGCUACUGAGAGUUCAGGGAUUUUUCAUUGAAAGGGUCGUUGCCUCUCUCUGCAUACAGCCAAUGAUUUCUCCAAUCCUUGUGAGAAACCCAACAACCUUUUUAUCAAUUUUAAUGGAGGGAGUAAUACAACAACAUACCCAACGUGAUUAGAGCGUACACAGACCUUACCCAGGUAGGGGUAAGGCUGCGUACAUCUUACCCUCCCCAGACCCCACUAUUGUGGGAUUACACUGGGUAGUGACCCAUAUAGAGAAAGUGAGGCUCAGAUUUGUGUUAAGCUUGGGCAACAAGAGAGUCCAACAACACCAUGGCUGCAAAAACUACCAGAAAGUUUGGAAGCAUGCCCCGCCAAGAUACGGGUCGGAUUAUCUCAAAUGCCCAAUUAAUCAGCUCCGAAGGGAAUAAAAUUGACAAAAAUCAUCAUCGCCUCUUUAAAGAAGAAAUGGCACAGUUUGCCCUUGAAACGUAUUUAACAACUAGAGCAAUGCCAACUGAUCAAUGAUUUCCUGAUAGCUUUACCAUUACCUCAACUCUUAUCAUCAAUACCAUCUUUAUCGUAUAUUUCUUUUUUCUGAAUGUGUCAAAUGGUACACAUUUCACUUUCAUUGCUCUAACUUUUCUUUAUCACUAUCCCCAUAUUGUCCGAGGGUCUUUCGGAAAGAGCCGUCCUACCUUGGUAGGAGUAAGGUCUGCGUACACUCUACCCUCCCCAGACCCCACGAUGUGGGAUUUCACUGGGUUGUUGUUGUUGUUGUUGUAUCCCCAUAUUGUCCAAACAGAAUUAUUAGGUGGUGGACCGUUGUACAACACCUAUUAUUGUUACUUUUAACUUUUCCCCACAUAUAUUUUUCCACAAGCCCCAUGUUCAUCUGUCGGAUUUUUUAUGCUUUAAUCACAUUAUUAAUGGACCAUCUUAAACACUCAAUUCAUUAAGACAAAAACAGUAUUCAUCUCUUAUCAAACUCACAAUCAAUGGCUACAGUUUCUUCAACUUGAUCUUAGUUUUAUAUCUACUGUUUCUCUUUCUCCAGCUUUCCCAUACAGCCCCUUUUUUUCCAGCUCUGAGUAUACUAAAUAUCAAGACUCUUGAAAAUGGCUGAUGCCUUUGUGUCAUAUGCAAUUCAAAAACUGGAGGAUUUCCUCAUACGGGAAGUUAACCUGCGGUCAAGUCUGAGAGAGAAUGUGCAGUGGCUGAGAAAUGAGCUGCUCUUCAUGCAGUCUUUCCUCAAAGAUGCAGAAGAAAAGCAGAGUGAAGAUCAAAGAGUUCGACAAUGAAAGAGGUGAUGAUGAUUUUUGUUAAUUUUUAAUUCCCUUAUGAGCUGAUUAACGGGCAUUUGAGGUUAUCAGACCUGUAUCUUGGCGGGGCAUGCUCCCAGUUCUUCUGGUGGUUUUUGCAGCCAUGGCGUGGUUGGACUCUCUUUUUGCCCAAGCUUAAACACAGAUCUGAGCCUCACUUCAACAAUGUCAUUAUGGGAAAUAAAAGGUUAGGGAAAUGAACAAAGCAAAAGCUCAUUUGGGCGAAAGAAUGAGGCUACAGAGAGUUUAGGGAUUUUCAUUGAAAGGGUGGUUGCCUCUCUCAUCAUUUAGCCAAUGAUUUCUCCACUACUGUGAGAAACCCAACAACCCUUUAAUCAAUUUUACUGGUCAUUUGCACUUUUGCCCUUAUUUUGUGGUUGUCUUUAAUUAAUAGCUGUUUGGAAGGUUGUUAUUUAUUGUUUCAGAGGGUUUGAAUGCCCUUCAACUCCUUUUUAAUGCUUCUGCCGGAGCAUUCAAUGUUGCCGGUGGAGCUGGUGAGUAUAAUCGGACGGCUUGAAAGAGGCGAUGAUGAUUUUGUUAAUUAUUAAUUCCCUUCUAAGCUAAUUAAUUGGGCAUUUGAGGUUAUCCGACCCAUACCUUGGCGGGGCAUGCCAUCGGAUUUUCUGGUGGUUUGCAGCCAUGGCGUUGCUGGACUCUCUUUUUGCCCGAGCUUACCACAGAUCUGAGCCUUACUUUCUCUGUCAGUUUAGGUAAACAAAAGGUUAGAGAAAUGAACAAAGCAAAAGCUCAGAAGGGAAAAAAAUGAGGCUACGGAGAGUUUAGGGAUUUCCAUUGAACGGGUGGUUUGCCUCUAUCUGUAUUGCCAAUGAUUUCUACAUUGCUGUAAGAAACUCAAUAACCCUUUUAUCAAUUUUAACAGAGGGUGUAUACUAGGAACAGCUCUUCGAUUGUUGGUUACAUAUUGUUUCAAAGGGUUUCCAUGCCCUUCUUAAAAACUAUUUUCUUGAGCCGAGGGUCUAUCUGAAACAGCCCCUCUACCCCACAACGGUAGGGGUAAGGUCUGUGUACACCCCACUCACCCCACACCCACUUGUGGGACUUUACAGGGUCUGUUGUUGUUGUUCUGCCGGAGCAUUUAGUGUUGCCGUUGGAGCUGGUGGAAAUGGUGCUGGUAACUAUAAUCGGGCGGCUUGAAUGAGGCGAUGAUUAUUUUUGUCAAUUUCAAAUCACUUAUGUGUUGAUUAACCGGGUAUUUGUGAUUAUCCGACCUGUAUCUUGGCGGGGCAUGCCCUGUUUUUUCUGGUGGUUUUUGCAGCUAUAGCGGCGUUGGACUCUCUUGUUGCCAGAGGUUAACGCAGAUCUGAGUUUUAUUUGGACCAAAGCAGGCAUUAUUAAGAAUUUCAGGGGGCACCCUAUUUGGACACUGUCAUGCUAUGCUAAUACCAUGCAUCCUCUUUAUCUUUUCCUUUUCUUUUAAUGCUCCCACCGGAGCAUUCAAAGUUGCCAUGGUGGUGGUGAGCAUAGUCAAUGCUUAAUAGAGGCGAUGAUGAUUUUGUCAUUCCCUCUUAGCCUAUGAGUCGGGCAUUUGAGAUAAUCCGACCCGUAUCUUGGCAGGGCAUCCCCCGCAGAUUUUUCUGGUGGUUUUUGCAGCCAUGGCGUAGCCUGACUCUAUCUUUGCCCGAACUUAACACAGAUCUGAGCCUCAGUUUCUCUGUGCUUUUUAAAAUGGGUAUGUAAUUAUCUAUAGGCUUGAGGGCACUAUAUAAACAGAAGGUCAGAAAGAUGACCAAAGCAAAAACUCAGAAGAGAAUCAUUGAUACCCUUAUGAGCUUAUCAAUCGGGCAUUUGAGAUUAUCCGACCCGUAUGUUGGUGUGGCAUGCCCCAGAUUCUCUGGGUUUUUUUUUUGGCAGCAUGGCGUCAUUGGACUCUCCUUUUGCCUUAGGUAAAUACAAUUUAUGGUGAUUGUUGAAAAUUCAGCCAUUAGCGUUGUUGAUGUUGUUGUUGUUGUUUGGAUUAUGGAAAGAUAUUACCCAUGAAUUGCAGACUUUUAUGGGUCUUUUCAGUUAAGUUCUCUGUAAAAACAAAGUGGCUAGCUCACGCUGUUUCUACAAAAUAUAUUUUGUUAUGACUCCAUCCUGAAAGAUUAUAUACGUACAAGAUGUGUAUCAAGGCUUCAGGGUACUACUGUAUAUGAUUUACGGGGCCUUUGACUCUUCUUUGUUAAAUUUUCUCAAUAACCUUUGGGGAGAUGAACAUAGCAAAAUCUGAGAAGGGAAAGAAUGAGGCUACAGGGAGUUUAGGAUUUCUGUUGAAAGGGUGGUUGCCUCUAUUCUCAUUAGCCAAUGAUUUCUCCACUACUGUAAGAAUCCCAACAAUGCUUUUAUCAAUCUUACUGAGGGAGCACUAUUAAGGGUUUCAUACCCUUCCAUGCUAUGCUAUACCAUCCAUUCUCUCUCUCUCUCUCUCUCUCUCUCUCUCUCUUUCUUUCUCAGUGCUUUCGCCAGAGCAUUGAAUUGUUCCAGUUGUGGCUAUUGAAGCGGUGAGUAUAAUCAAUGGCUUGAAAGAGGCGAUGAUGAUUGUGUCAAAUUUUUGUCCCCUUUUGAACUGAUUAAUCGGGCAUUUGAGAUUACCUGACCCGUAUCUUGGCAGGGCAUGCUCCCAGAUUUUCUGCUUGUUCUUGCAGCCAUGGCAUUGUCGGACUCUUUGUUUGCUCGAGCUUAACACAGAUCUGAGCCACACUUUCUCUAUGUCAGCUUGGAAAAUAUAUUAUAUUUCCUUAUGCUGAGGGUCUACCAGAAACAGCCUCUCUACCUCCCAAGUAGGGGUAAGGUCUGCAUACACUCUACCCUCCCCAGACCCCACUUUGUGGGAUUUCACUGGGUAUGUUGUUGUUGUUGGUUCGUUUGGUUAAAGACUGGUUAGAGUUAUGUAGGCGGUGCUGAGUAUAAUUGACGGCUUCAAAGAGGCGAUGAUGAUUUUGUAAAUCUUUUAUACCCGUAUGAGCUUAUCAAUCAGACAUUUGAGAUUUAUCCGACCUGGCGGGGCAUGCCCUAGAGUUUCUGGUGGUUAUUGCGGCCAUGGCGUCACCGGAUUCUCUUUUUGCUCGAGCUUAACACAGAUCUGAGCUACACGUCCUCUCUGUCUUUGAUAAACGCUUUUAUUGAGCUGAGGGUCUAUCAGAAACAACCUCUCUACCUCGCAAAGUAGGGGUAAGGUGUGCGUACACUCCACACUCGCCAGACCCCACUCGUGGGAUCACACUGGGUAUGUUGUUGGUUAAUAUGUAUAAAUAAUCUAUAUACAAAAUCCUGGAUCCGCCUGUGCAAAGUUAUGGUCUAGACUCUAGAAUGCAUAAACUUAAUCCUGGAUCUGUCUCCUCUGGAGACAAGUUAUGCAAGUGGUCAGUAUAAUUGACGGCUUGAAGGGCGAUGAUGAUUUGGUAAAUCUUUAUUCCCUUCCUAGUAUACUAAUCAGGCAUUUGAGAUUAUCCGACCCUUGUCUUGGCAGGGCAUGCUCCCAGAGUUUCGGGUGGUUUUCGCAGCCAUGGCGUUGUUGGACUCUCUUCUUGCCUGAGCUUAAACACAGAUCUGAGCCUCAAAAUUUAUGUGCUUUUUAAAAAAACUUCUGCUAGUUUGGAAAUGGAUAUAGAUGGACUCAUACCAUUCCCAACUUGCUUGGGAUGACGUGUAGUUGGUCCAAUCUAUUUAUCUGCAAACUCUUUUACCGAGGUAACCCUCACUGUCCUUUGCUGUCAGUUACAACUCAAGUGAAAUUUUUUCGAUUAUAAAAGCCACUUUAUGGUGAAAAUACCUAUGACCUUAUAGUUUUCUUCUGUUCUUACUCUCUAUUUAUAAGCAAUGAGGCGAUCAAGAUUUUGGCAUCUAUCGAAGUUGAAUCAGAUAUAAUCUUCUCCUGAGCUGAAAACACUGCAUCUUGGUGUGGUAGCUCAGAUUGGCUGUGAUUGGUGGAACAUUUCAUUUUUGGUGAAAGAAUGAGGCCGUUCCUUCAUUUUUGGUGGUUGCUCGGUUUCUCUGAAGUUUGAUUGCCUAUCAAUUCUUUGUUUUCUUUUUUAUCAACGGCUCUUGCAUCAGGAAAUGAUAAUGUUGUUGAUGAUGAUAAAAAUUUGUCAACAAUGCUCUUACCCCAAGUAGUUGGCGUUGCCUAUAUGACUCUUAGUGUCCAUUCCGCUCUAAAACCCGGAACUUAGUGAAUGAAGCUGUGGCAAUCUUAUCCAGUAAGCUUGAAUUUUGAAAUCUCAGACAUUUGAGCUGAUUUUUAUAUUCGUUUGGAAAAUUUUGAGGGAACUUGUGAGUUGGUUUUAUUUUCUAUUCUCACAAAACUUCUGCCCUUUGCUGCCACGACAGAUUAGCCCUUCUUCUGAUAGUUUAGACAAAUCUGUGACUCAUUUCUGUGUAACUCUCAGUUCCUUCCACAAUUUGGUAGAUUUCUGUUCCUGGUUCGGAGGUACUUUCAUUUUACAUGUUCAUUUCCAGCUCUUAGCACGAGUACAAUAAAAACUAUCAUUCAAUCCCAAACAAGUAGGGGUCAGCUAUAGGAAUCUGAAUCUGCAUUAUCCCUUCAGCUCCAUAUGGAUCCAUUUCAUCCAACUUUCAAUAUUUUUGGGACUUUUCUAACAAUAGAUGUUCCCUGCAUUUUUAACUGACCCUAGUGAACACUGGACUUAAUGUAAUCAUCUAACAUGACAGACCUUACCUGUGCUUUUUAAUAUAAUUAUAUAAGUAGGUGUUGGGCCAUGAAAACCAAAUAUUUUUCACUUCUUUUUUGAAAUUUUGAAGUUGGAGUUGAAAAUGAGUUGUGUUUGAUUAUAGUUUUUGCAAAGAAUAUUUGGUUGUUUGAAUGUACUGAAAGUGAAAACAGGGUUUUAGGUGUUUUCCAAAUUAAGUUGUAUUUGGAAUUUUCAUGGCCAAAUGCUGAUUUUCAAAUAAAGUGAAAAACAUUUCCGGAAAAAAGGAGAAAUUCUCAUGGCGAAACGGGUAUUGUCAUGUCAUGCUUUCAUCCUCAAUUUGAUGCCCUUUUUUGUAUCUUGAGAAUCCAAAAGUUCUGAGGCUAUGAAGAUUAUCUUAAAAAGACUGAAAUAUUGGAGUUAAUUCCAAGGCCUGGCUUGGCAAAGACAACCUGGAAGGUCUGUGAAGGAGGAUGAGAAAUAAUAAGUUUCUUGUAGUCCCUUCUCACGGCAGCCGAUCUUUGUAGCCAUGGCCGUUUUAGCUCUGCUCUUUGAUUAAAUAGGCGAAAAUCUGAGCCUCCUUACCUAAGUUUUACUUCAGUUUGAUCACUGAAACAGUAUCUUUUAGAAGCUUUCUUGAAUUGAUCUAAAAAUUCAGUUAUUGCUUUCAAUCUUAAACUGAUUUGAUUUUCAACAAUGUGGGAUAAUUGGGUUUGCAUGAAAAAAGUACCAACAAAUGGCAUGGUCUCGAGUCUUGAUGCCUUCAUGUCCACACUAAUUUAAACUUUAAAGGUAAUAACAACAUUGUUGUCCAUAUGAAAUUUCCAAAAAAAGAUAAUAUAAAAAGAAUUCGACAUGAACGUCUUAUUUUUCCCUUAAUGACAGGCUUUGUUGUAUACAUUUUCUAAUAACAUCUUUCAUGAUAUUUGUUUUUUUUUUGUUUAAUGACAGGCUUUGUUGUAUACAUUUUUUUUUUUUUUUUUUUUUAUAUCAUCAAUCAUUUUGAUUCAGAAUUCAAUGUAAAUAGACCCUAAAUGAUCACUAAUUUUAAUUUAGCCGUCAGAUACUGAUCCUAACAAUUUCAAAUAACAUUUACUUCAAAACAACACAAAUAUCAAGUUAGAAUUAUCAACUCCACUUCGAAAGUUCAAGAUCCGUUCAACAAGGGUGGACUUCAAGUUUUACUCCAUACGAAAUCGUGCAGUAAUCACCCUUUGGAAAACAAAAUGUGAAAAUGAAAUUUCUUUCUCUUCAUUUAAGACUUACAAGCCCUUUUGCCUGUUCUCUUCAUGCAACAAAGCAAAAGCUCAGAAGGGAGAGAAUGAGGCUACGAAGAGUUUGAGGAUUUUUGUUGAAAGGGUGGUUGCCUCGCUCUGCAUCAGCCUAUGAUUUCUCAUCACUGGCAUGCCCCCAGAUUUUUCUGGUGGUUUUUGCAGCCAUGGCGUUGCUGGACUCUCAUUUUGCCCGAGCUUUAAAACAGAACUGAGCCUCAAAGCCCCAAUAUCUCUAUGUUGUUUUGGGAAAUGGAUAUGUAGUUGCAGAGAAAUGAACAAAGCAAAAGCUCGGAUGGGAGAGCGUACUUUUAUAAGAAGAUGGGAGAGCGUACUCUUAUAAGAAGAUAGCUGUUAUAGAAGGGUAAUUUUACAAAGAGCGUACUCUUAUAAAGAUGAUUGUGGCAGAGAUGGAGUAUCAAUCAAUAUGCAUUUGGAGCUUGGACAAUAUUUGUGGUGAAACUUAAAAGGGUUUCCAUGCCCUUCCAUGCUGUAUGCUAAAACCAUGCAUCUUUCUGUUUCUUUCUUUCUUUUAUGCUGUCACAAGCAUUUUGUGCUGUCACAAGCAUUUAAUGCUGCCGGUAGUGGUGGUGAGUAUAAUCGGCGGCUAAAAAGAGGCGGUGAUGAAUUCUAUGAUGCUUUCAUUCCCUUCUGAGCUUAUUAAUCGGGCAUCUUGAGAUUAUCCGACCCGUAUCUUGGCGGGGUAGGACUCCAGAUUUUCUGGUGGUUUUUGCAGCCAUGGCGUUGCAGAUCUCUCUUUACCUGAGCUAUAACACAGAUCUGAGCCUCAAUUUCCGAGAAAAUGGGAUUAUUUGACUGAACUCCAGCCAAUUCAGCUGCUGACCUUGUUCAGUUACGAUCUCUUGACUGGCAAAAAUCUCAGAUGGGAGAGAAUGAGGCUACGGAGAGUUUAAGGUUUUUUUGUUGAAAGGGUGCCUCUCUCUGCAUUAGCCCAUGAUCUCUUUGCUCUUUCGGAUUGAAGAGCGGUCUCAAAAAUUAGCUAUCUGUUGCAUAUACAUUCAGACAUUUGUAUAACCCUUAUUCUCAAUAACAACAUUUUACUAUGACAGCUAAAAAAUACUUAGACAAAUGGCUCUGUAAUAGAGAGAUUUGAUUGUAUUCCCUCAGUGGGAGUAUUGAUCAGCAUGCAUUUGGAGUUUGUACAAUAUUUGUGUUGAAACUUAAAGGGUUUCCAUGCCCUUCCAUGUUGUAUGCUAAUGCCAUGCAUCUUUCUGUUUC